rnacentral:tRNA from 1 species
GGAGUGUUGGCUCAGUCAGUAGAGCGUCCGCAUUACAACCGGGGGGUCAUGGGUUCGAACCCCGGCCGCGUCA